UCUUCUCUUUCUUUCACAACAACUUUUCCACUCUUCCGUCUCCACUCUCACGACCAACCUUGCCGGAGAAAACGGUGGCGGCCGCCAACCACGGCGGCGGCCCCGUCUCCUCCGGCGACCUCCAACCUUAAAUCUCAAAACACCAAACACGAACCAUAUUCUAUUUUGGCCGGAGAUUCCAAAUCUGACCUCCUUUUUUCUAAACUCCCUCUCAAACGUCCGGAUCGGUACUUGAAAGGAAGAAAAAAACCUAAACCCUAACUUGAGUUCUCUCUUUCGCGCGGCCAACAAACCCUAACGUCCUUAACCUAAACAACAAAACUCAACCGUCCAAAACUAACCCUAAAAUUCAAGAUUCAAAGUUCUACAGAAGCCUUUUGAAGAAAUUGAAAGAGGGGUUUCGCUCAGUAUGCAAAGGCGGAGAUAAUGAUGUAAAGAUUUGAAAGAAAAAAUGGAGGAUUUACUUGAGUGAAGUUCAACGCCGGUGACGCUCCCUACUGUUUCAGAUAAG
rnacentral:lncRNA from 1 species